GGGGUUUUAGCUCAACAGGUAGAGUGUAGGCCUUGCACGUCUAAGGUUCUGGGUUCGACCCCCAGGGGCUCCA
rnacentral:tRNA from 1 species